rnacentral:lncRNA from 1 species
UUGAGUCAGUUGAGUGAUGUGGAACAUGGAGCGAAGUAGCAGAGCAGCUGGGAUGAUCCAGGAAGGGAAAGAAUGAAACAAUAAAAACAGGAGGAGAGUAAAUAAAUAAAAAUAAAAAUAAAAAUAAAUAAAAUACUGUAAAAGUUGAAAAUGGAUUUCGGAGUCGAAGGCGAUAAACAGCUGGCGGAAGGGGAUCGCCAUCUGGGGUGUGACUGCGUGUUCUAGGAAAUUGGCGCAAAGAUUGAGACUUGUGGGACGCAGAG